rnacentral:misc_RNA from 1 species
GGCCGGAUAAGGCGUUUACGCCGCAUCCGGCAAUGGUGUCCAAAUGCAACACGUUUUAUC